rnacentral:rRNA from 1 species
CUGGCGGCGGGCCUAAUACAUGCAAGUCGAACGCAGUCGACCUUCGGGUCAUAUGACUGAGUGGCGAACGGGUGAGUAACACGUGAGAAACCUGCCCCGAAGACUGGAAUAACCCGAGGAAACUCGGGCUAAUACCGGAUGUCCCCAGAUGGCCGCAUGGCCGACUGAGGAAAUGCUCCGGCGCUUUGGGAGGGUCUCGCGGCCUAUCAGCUUGUUGGUGAGGUAACGGCUCACCAAGGCUUCGACGGGUAGCUGGUCUGAGAGGACGAUCAGCCACACUGGGACUGAGAUACGGCCCAGACUCCUACGGGAGGCAGCAGUAGGGAAUCUUGCGCAAUGGGCGAAAGCCUGACGCAGCCACGCCGCGUGAGUGAUGAAGGCCUUCGGGUCGUAAAGCUCUUUCAGCAGGGACGAAAAUGACGGUACCUGCAGAAGAAGCCCCGGCCAACUACGUGCCAGCAGCCGCGGUAACACGUAGGGGGGCAAAGCGUUGUCCGGAUUUAUUGGGGCGUAAAGGGCUCGUAGGCUGUUCAGUAAGUCAGGUGUGAAAACUCGAGGCUCAACCCUCGAGACGCCACUUGAUACUGCUGUGACUAGAGUUCGGUAGAGGGAGUGUGGGAAUUCCUAGUGGUAGCGGUGGAAUUGCGCAGAUAUUAGGGAGGAACAACAACAAGCGGAGGGCAGCACCUCUGGGGCCGAUUACUUGACCCUGAGGAACGAAAAGCGGUUGGGAG